GAGAAGAGAAAGACUCCCUGGAAAAGACCGAUGUUGGGAAAGACUGAGGACACAAGGAGAAGGUGACAACAGAGGACGAGAUGGCUGGACAGUGUUCUCGAAGCUACCAGCGUGAGUUUGACCAAACUGCGGGAGGCAGUGGAAGACAGGAGUGCCUGGCGUACUCUGGUCCAUGGGGUCACGAAGAGUCAGACACGACAAAAUGACUAAACAACAGAACGGGACUAUGACUUCCCUUGAUUGGGACUCUUAAUUCCAUUGCUGCACAUUAGAACAGCAUUAGCUUUUUCUUUUUUGCUGCUGCAUCACACUGUUGACUCAUGUUAAUCUUGUGGUCUAUCAUAUAUUUGUGCCGCUGGUUCUUCCUGCCUAAGUGUAGAACCUUACAUUUGCAGAAGUGUGGUGUAACCAAACUAGAAGCAGCUGCAAGCAAACUGGUGCUUAGCUUACAUCUCCCUGUAGACAUAAAAACAUCAUGCUGUCAUCACACAGCCCCCAGUGGAGGAUUUGGAGUGUUGCAUCACAAUCCUGGAUUUGCAUGAAGUCAGGAUGAGGAAGGGGAGCAAAAGAGUAGACCAGUUAUAACGGCCAUGGCAUGAGAGUGAGGAGGAACAGACCCAUACAGGUGAAAAGUGGUGGCUUAAAACAACAGGUGUUUGAGUAAAGAAAGCAGUGGAAUACCUGAGGGCUCUACAUCCUUGGAAGGAAACUGAAAGGAGGAAAAAUUGUGAUUGAAAACAAUGGCAGAGGCUUCAGUAGAGUGAUCACUGAGGGGUGGAAAGUGGUAGUUUAAAAAAAGAUUUGAGUACAGUGAGAAGGGAGUUGGGAAAGGUUCUGCUGUGCGAAUUUCUUGGUGUUUGCUUCUGUGUUAUGCCCCUCUCUAUUUAUCCUUGCUUGUUUUCUAUAAAAAGGCAACCCCUC